AACGAACGCUGGCGGCAUGCCUAACACAUGCAAGUCGAACGAGACCUUCGGGUCUAGUGGCGCACGGGUGCGUAACGCGUGGGAACCUGCCCUUAGGUUCGGAAUAACUCCCCGAAAGGGGUGCUAAUACCGGAUAAUGUCUUCGGACCAAAGAUUUAUCGCCUUUGGAUGGGCCCGCGUUGGAUUAGCUAGUUGGUAGGGUAAAAGCCUACCAAGGCGACGAUCCAUAGCUGGUCUGAGAGGAUGAUCAGCCACACUGGGACUGAGACGCGGCCCAGACUCCUACGGGAGGAAGCAGUGGGGAAUAUUGGACCAUGGGCGAAAGCCUGAUCCGGCAAUGCCGCGUGAGUGAUGAAGGCCUUAGGGUUGUAAAGCUCUUUUACCCGGGAUGAUAAUGACAGUACCGGGAGAAUAAGCGCCGGCUAACUCCGUG
rnacentral:rRNA from 1 species